AUACGGAGGACGCGAGCGUUAUCCGGAUUCAUUGGGUUUAAAGGGUGCGCAGGCGGCCGUGCAAGUCAGCGGUGAAAGCCCGGGGCUCAACCCCGGAAGUGCCGUUGAUACUGCAUGGCUGGAAUGCGGUCGAGGCGGGCGGGACGUGGCGUGUAGCGGGGAAAUGCGUAGAUAUGCCACAGAACGCCGAUAGCGGAGGCAGCUCGCCAGGCCUGCAUUGACGCUCGGGCACGAAAGCGUGGGGAUCGAACAGGAUUAGAUACCCUGGUAGUCCACGCCGUAAACGAUGGGCGCUCGUCGUCGGCGGCAGACAGUCGGCGGCCAAGCGAAAGCGAUAAGCGCCCCACCUGGGGAGUACGGUCGCAAGGCUGAAACUCAAAUGAAUUGACGGGG
rnacentral:rRNA from 1 species